rnacentral:lncRNA from 1 species
GAUCUCUUUAAUUUCUCUUUAAGAAGAAGAAGAAACAUACUCCUAUCAGGAAGCCAUAAGAGGCUUUUGUUUAGUUUUGCCAGAUUUGCAGCACUCCAUAUGUUCUUGCAUGCUUCAGCCUGCGUCACGCACGUAUCUGGGUGCUCUUGACUACAUACAGGCUUCAAGCCACACUCAGGGGUGGAUAGCUAAGGAUGGCAGCCUCAGCCUCAUCUGGGGGAGUAGUGGUACUCCUGGGGGUUUUAUCUAGGUGGUUGGAAGAACACUGCUCUUCAGCUAUCUUGUAGGAGCCGCAGGCUCACCCACAGGGGAUGGAUGGUCCAGGCAUGUGUGAAGCUACACACUUGUAUGAAUGAGAAGAAUGGUUAGAAAGAGCUGGCACUGGAGUGCCCUAGGAAAGAAGACAGUUGCUGUCUCCCUAGAGCUCUUUGUCCAGGGAGAGAUAAGUCAUGCUGAAUCUGCCUAAGGUAGCCAAGACACAGUGGGCCAAGGUUGCCCACAGGAGCAUUAAGGACAGUGACUGUAUCCUGGUGAGGCUAGCCCAGAGGCCCUAGUAUCUAGGCUGUGGUAUUAGCCCUCUAGUUACCUUCAUAUCCCAGGCCUGGGCUGUUUUGCUGUUCUCUACUUCUGGGUGAGGAAUGGAAGAGAGUCAAUUCUACAAGAAAUUCUUGACCAUGAGGAGGCAGCCAAUGCAGGCAUUAUAGAAUCAUGGGUUUCUGGACUCAGACCUGGCCUGCCAGGAGGACAGUAUCUGGUAUAAGUGGAUGCUGGAAAGCCCUGUGUGAUUAGUUGGAGAGAUCAUGGUAUUGUUCCUUACUGGGGCAGCCGCAAGGAUGGGACUCAGCGAUCUGCCUGAUCAGUUCAGUUUUGUCUGCCUUGGCCAACUUUGGAAGAGCUGAGAAGAGCCAUGUGGCUGUAAGGCAAGAGCUCUGUGAAGACGAAAUGUAAAGACAGCCAAUAGGAAAGAUUUCUGGGGAACCAGUCAUAGUGGUGCACACCUUUAAUCUCAGUACUUGGAAGAUAGAGGCAGAGUAUCUGUGGAAGCUAAAAGCCAGCCUGGUCUACAUAGUGAGUUCUAGCACAGCCAGGACAACUCACUGAGACCCUAUCUGAAAAUAAACAAACAAAUAAUAGUAUUGUUAUUGUUAUUAGAAAAAUAGGUGUGGCUCAUUGUCUGGUGCUUGAGUCCCUACUAGGCCCUCUGCCCAAAACCUAGUACUGGUGUACCUAUCUUGGAAAUUCUUGGGCUAGCCUGGGGUUCAGCUCUUGCUCCAGGAAAGCUGUGCCACAUGAGGCCAUCUGGUUGUGUGGGAUAGGGUUUUCAGCUUCAACUACAUUCCCAUGUCUCCAGGGCCAUUAACUUUCUCCCUUGGAUGUUCGGACACAACCAGGGGGCAUGCCCUUUGUCUUGUCUUCCCUUGAUACCUAGGGCAGGAAAGAGGUAUGUGUAUCCUUGAUAGAGCCCCCAAGCAGCCAUAGUCUAGGGAAGGUUGUCACCUGCAGUCCCAUGUCUCUUUGUAGGUAGAGCAUGACUUUAUCCUGCCCGCUGAGCGAGAGACCUUCAUCGAGCAGAUGAAGGAUGUCAUGGACAAGGCAGAAGACAUGCUCAGUGAGGACACAGAUGCUGACCAUGGCUCUGAUACAGGGACCAGCCCUCCACACCUGGGUACCUGUGGUCUGGCCACGGGGGAGGUGAGAGCCCAGGUCCUCAGGGUAUGCUGGUGAAUGCAGCAGGCAAGAGGCUCAGAAAAAGGCUCUCAGUGAGCAAGGCUUCUGACCCACAAUCCCUUUCCCUCAUGCAGGAGAACAGACAGUCCCAAGCCAAUGCCCCUGUCUACCAGCAGAAUGGUAAGUCUGUCUCGGAAAGGUAAGGCAGGCCAGUCUUAGGGAAGAACCGUUUCCCUGUAUCUUCUGUGCUCUAAAGCAGGCAUUUGACAGAAGUUCCCUGUUGAGCAUAGCAGCACCAGGCUUUGGCCACUGUACCAGAAGGAUUGUGGGAGUGGUGAUGUUGGUCUCUCAGUUGGUUAUGGCUACCCUGCCCCAGCAGCUGCUAACCUCUGGCUGCCAUCAAUUCCUUCAAGGCUGGUGCUGUAGACAUCCUAAGAACUGAAAUCAAGCCUUUCUGAGAGUCUCCAGCUGCCAGUGAGGCUCCCUGGACUGGAUGCCCAUCCUACACUCUUCUGGUUGAAAGGAGCCAAUGGAAGCCCUUUCCCAAGGCCUCCUUUCAAGGGACCUGCAGGAAGCCAUGGAGCGAAGCUGCUUAGGAUUAUAAGAGGGAGCUUGAGUCCCUGCUCACAGAUGGAAUGAGCUUCUUAGUGCGCCUCAUGGGGUGUGGUACGGCCCCCUAGCCUGGAGGUACCGGCUCCCUCUCAGCACCUCUCUGUGCUCUCUUUCUCAGUCUUACACACGGGAAAGAGGUGGUUUAUCAUCUGUCCAGUGGCUGAACACCCAGCAACAGACACUUCUGAAUCAUCACCCCCACUUCCUCUAAGCUCCUUGCAGCCAGAAGCCAGCCAAGGUAGGAAUGCACAGAGCCCAGACCCCCGUCCAUAGCAACCCAGGAGCUUCUGUCUGUCCAGCCCUGUGCUAGGACACACUGGGUACUGAGUACCAUGAAAGCCGCUGCUGCUGACCCAUACUGUCACUCCAAAGCUCAGAACAGCCUGCAGGCCAAGUUACCACUUCUUCCUGUUCUCUACUGUUUCCAUCAGGGCAGCACUGGCCUCGGCUGUCUUUAUUAUAUGUGCCACUCACAAGAGGUGCCGGCAUAAUGAUUGUGUAUAGUGACUCUCUUUCACCUGUCUUUGUCACCUUCAGUACACCCUUGGUGGACAUGCUCUCUGCAUGGGGAGGUGGGAUUCUGAGACUACAUAAUUCUCAGUUGUCGUGUGGAUGAUAGUCCAUGCUAUUCUUCUGAGACUGCCUGCACCUAUCUCCACGGAUAUCUGCAAGCUUUUCCUUCAGCACCAUUGGCUAAGUCUUGAUUUUUAUAUCUGUGGUUUUACAAGGCUGAACUAGUCACUGGAUCAAACAUAAGCUUUGGUUCCUCAUCACUUGGCAAGAAAACUGAUUAUUAAAUAGCUUGGGUUUCCAUCAUACUACAUUCAUGAAAAGGACAUGUAAGUCAGUUUGUCUCCUGAUUGUAUGUUUUCAGUGAACUCCAUCGUACUUUUGGAGAUUUCGUUACCACUGGGAGAAGGUCAUCUUACUAGUAAGGUUCCGUGAAGGAUGAUUGGGGGGUGAGCUCAGCCUCUCCUGAGAGGCCAGGGGCUGGUGACCUCACUUGAAGAGUGACUUUCACAAUGAGGGUCUCUUCCCACAAUCCAUUUUCCUUGGCUUAUACACACUCCCUGGUUUGAGGAAAGUCCAACCUCUGUCACAGGGCAGGUACAUUUUAGCGUGCCAUAAGAUAGAAGGACCGUGGAGUGUCACAGUGUGGUGUGCCAUUAACAGAUAGUGAAGUGGCAUUUAAGAACGCAGUUAAACCCUCACCCUUCAUCUACAAACUGAUGAGCCUGGAAACCAUUCAUAGAAAGUUUGAAUAAGGUGGGGAUCUGGGGUGGAAAAGUAGGUGACAGACAUGCUAAUGGUAUUAACUAUCCACAGAGAAGAACUCAAAUACUUGAUGAGUUCUGACAGUCACAUGGCAAAGGCACUGGAAAUCUGAAGACAGCG